CCCCGCAAGGGGUAAGUAGAGUGGCAAACGGGUGAGUAACACGUGGGUGACCUGCCUUAGAGUGGGGGAUAACGUCCCGAAAGGGACGCUAAUACCGCAUAACAUCCUGCCUUUGAAGAGGUGGAGAUCAAAGCCGGGGACCGCAAGGCCUGGCGCUUAAAGAGGGGCCCGCGCCUGAUUAGCUAGUUGGUGAGGUAAUGGCUCACCAAGGCAACGAUCAGUAUCCGGCCUGAGAGGGCGGACGGACACACUGGGACUGAGACACGGCCCAGACUCCUACGGGAGGCAGCAGUGGGGAAUUGUUCGCAAUGGGCGCAAGCCUGACGACGCAACGCCGCGUGGAGGAUGAAGACCUUCGGG
rnacentral:rRNA from 1 species